UUUCCGUAGGUGAACCCGCGGAAGGAUCAUUAUUGUAUAACCGAGGUGCGAGGGCUGUCGCUGACCCGAAAGGUCGUGCACGCCCGAGUGCCCUCACACACAUCCAUCUCACCCCUAUGUGCACCACCGCGUGGGUCCCCCUUUGGCUUGUUCGGAGGGGGGCUUACGUUUUCACACAAACUUUGUAUGCAGUGUAGAAUGUAUUUUUUGUUUUUGCGAUCACGCAAUCAAUACAACUUUCAACAACGGAUCUCUUGGUUCUG
rnacentral:misc_RNA from 1 species